rnacentral:lncRNA from 1 species
GUUUGCCUCCAGAGCGUGCAGGCUGGGAAGGAGCGUGCAGGAAGGAGCGUGCGCGAAUUGGGGGGCAGGGACUGGAGCUGGGCUGGGCUGUGAAGGAAGUUUAGACGUUGGACUUUGUCUAGUUGAUCGGCAUCACCUUCUUGCUGAGUGACUUUUAUACCUUAUUUUCAACAAAUCAGCCACAGACACCAUAGUGCAUUUAAAAAUGCCGCCAUGGGCUGCUGCCAGUGCUCACGCAGGGUCACAAAUACUCUUCAUUGUUUCAUGGAUGGCACAGCUCCGGGCCGGAGCGCCCGCCGAGACCCUUGUCAUGGGCGCACACCCUCUGUCUCGGGAAUCUUGCUGUUCCUUCUGCGGGAUGGCUCCUCUGUCAGGACCAUUUGAAAUCCUCCCAGUGAAAUGGGAGCACGCUUUUAAGCCAUGAAAAUAAACACGAGUUCCGCCACCAGGACUCAGAGGGAAGCAGGAAUUUAUGAUGCUGGAUCGCUCUCUUUCUCCUGCUUUUGUUUUCAGAAAAACAAUUAGGGAUUCUGUGAUAGGCAGCCUCGAAGGUGGCCCGCAAUGAUCCCAUUCACCUUGUAUGUACACCUUUGAAUGUAGUGUGGACGAAGUGACUUGCUUCUAAAGAAGAGAGCAGAGCGGAAGUGGUGGGAUGUCACUUCUGAUAUUUGGUUAUAAAAAGACUGUGGCUUCCAUCUUGGGUGCUCUCUCUUACCCACUCUUGGAUCACACGGCCUAGAUGACUCCAGUCACAAAAUCAUGAGGCAGCCUGUGGAGAGGCCCAGGGGGUGAGGGACAGGGGCAUGACAACAGCCACGUGAGUAAGCUCGGAAACAGACCCCCACACCUCAUAUCAAGCCUUCAGAUGAGACCACAGCCCCAGCUGACAGCUUGACUGCAACUUCAUGAGACAUCUUCAGCCGCAGACACCCAGCCAGGCUGUGUUCAUGUUCCUGACUGAUAGGAAGCAUGAGACAAUAAACGUUUGUCAUUUUAAGCUGCCAAGUUUUGGGGUAAUUUGUUACACAGCAAAAUAUAACUACAGCUUCCUAGCCCAGCAAGAAGUAAAAAGUGGCAGGGAAUUAAGAGAGUGAUUCUGGUAAAA